rnacentral:rRNA from 1 species
AUUGAGCUAUAAACUAAUUCCAACACUACCAAAGAACCCUUAAGUAAUAUUGAGUAAUUCUAUACAAUUUAUAGAAGAUUUUAUGUUAAAACUAGUAACAAGAAGAAGAACUUCUCACACAAUGCAAGUGUAAAUCAGACAGGACACCCCCACUGAUAAUUAACACCCAUGAACACAAAAUAGUAACCACACAAGAAAACCCUAAUACACCAUGUGUUAACCUUACACCAGAGCAUUUCAAGAAAGAUUAAAAGAAAAAGAAGGAACUCGGCAAAUAUUAACCUCGCCUGUUUACCAAAAACAUCGCCUCUUGAAUUGAUAUAAGAGGUCCAGCCUGCCCAGUGACCAUGUUCAACGGCCGCGGUAUCCUAACCGUGCGAAGGUAGCGUAAUCACUUGUUCUUUAAAUAAGGACUAGUAUGAACGGCACCACGAAGGUUACACUGUCUCCUAUUUCUAAUCAGUGAAACUAAUCCCCCCGUGAAGAAGCGGGGAUAAAAAUAUAAGACGAGAAGACCCUAUGGAGCUUUAAACUAUAAGGCAUUUGCCCACAUAUUAACCAAAUUUCAGAAAAUCACUACUACCCAGGCAAUAUGACCCUUAGUUUUAGGUUGGGGUGACCGCGGAGCAAAAAAUAACCUCCACAUUGAAAGGAGCCACUCCUUAGCCGAGAGCUACACCUCUACGCACCAACAAAAAGACAUUAAUUGACCCAAUAUUUUGAUCAACGAACCAAGUUACCCUAGGGAUAACAGCGCAAUCCACUUCAAGAGCUCCUAUCGACAAGUGGGUUUACGACCUCGAUGUUGGAUCAGGGUAUCCCGGUGGUGCAGCCGCUACCAAAGGUUCGUUUGUUCAACGAUUAAAACCCU